rnacentral:lncRNA from 1 species
CCUUUCAUUCAUUAAUAAUUCAUACAAUAAAAGCGUGUUUUACUGCCUGGUUUGUCUGGGGCUUAAAACUGAUAGCUUUAUGCAGGAGGGCAGGAGGCUGUAUGUUGGUUUUGGAAAUACCUGUUUGUCCAUAAAAAACUACAGAAUGCAUGUGCGCUUAGAAUUCUGAUAUAGUCACAUUUGGCAAUAUCCAAGAUUAUUGUUAUCUAAUAGAUUUUUCAUGUUUCUUUCUUUUUGCAGAAAUCAUUUACCUUUCAAUCUUGGAAGGCCCUAAGCUAAAGGAGAGCAUCAAUUGUCAUGAGAGAUAAGCAAUAUCUAUUAGACACGCAUACUAUCAGGCUAACGCAAACCACUCGGGAAUGAAGUAUACUUACCGUAACUUUCUAUGUGUUGACUUGAGUUUUCCUGUUAGUAAAAGAAACAUGCCAUUUUUUUGCGGUUCAUGGAUUCAUGCUCAAUGUUGAAUUAUUAUCUGAUCUGCAAAAGCAUGCCUUACUGCUGCUCAUGGUCACAUGAUUUAUAAUUUAUAACUACAAUUAUUUAAAUCAGUAUCUUGCAUGAAGUCUUGACAUCUAGCUUGAUCAAAGAUUCCACUGUGUGCUUAUUUCUCCAUCAUAUUGCACAAUGAAUAAUAUCAGUAGAUAAAUAUCUCCUUUUUAUGCAAUGAAUUUCAUGAAAUAAAACAGCGUCGAUCACUGUCUCCGACGUAAUCUUAAGUGCACAGGCAUGGCUUACUGUCACUGCUUUCUUGUAGUAUUAGUGUCGUCUUUGGCUGUUUCCUUUCUUGAAUUUUCGAAUGACAGCGUACAUGCCUAAACAUAUUCAAAGUUGUUGAUUAUUUUGUUGCAAAUAUAGUAUUUAGUAAUUUGACGUGAACCCUUGAAGGUCCAAUUAAGGCUAUUUGACUAGGAAGCUAGGUGAUAUGUGCUCAAAAGAACCUACCCCUGUUAUGCACCAGUUUUUUGCCUUAGCGUUGUUUCUGCUGUUAUGCUAUAUAUCUUGUAUUAAUUGAAUUUUGAAGAUAACGAUUAAGGAAUUCAUCUACAAUAGGAACUUACUUCCCAACAAGGAAAGUCCAGUGAUUGGGCAACAACAUGUGGAAGGAUAAUUACUGGAUACUUUUUUUAGCGAAUAACUGCGGAGCGAUUUGCUGUCUCAAAACAUGUAAGUUGUGAUGCCCUCUCUGGAAUCGAAUGACUAAUUCGUAAAACAGGAUCUGGUUCUACAAUUUUAUCAAAAUUAAUUUGGCACUACAAAAACAUUUGUCAUUUCAUCUAGGAAUAUUUUUAAAUAGUUAAUAAAUCAUACAGACUUGAUAUUUUCUUGGUCUCAUGCAACUAUGUGUUGUUUCUUAUUUUACUCAACAAUCAUUUGUGGCAAUUAUGAGUUGUUUUUCGCCAUUCGUACACUAUCCCUUAAUUUUACUACGAAUAUAUGAAAGUACACACCAAGGGGUUUGCGAAAAUUAAAAAAACUAGGACACAAGCACGAGUCACCUUAUGAGGUGAUGAUGUAGGAGACACAAUGAGGUGAAAGAGAUGUGAUGGACAUAGAAGAGUAAACCCAUGAGGACAAAGAGAUGUGAAGCACAUAGAAGGAGGAAGCAAGGACCUCGAUCCACAUUAUUGAAGACAUAGAUAAGAACAAGAGUAUCACACUUCACACAUCAACCAAUCAAUGACACAUGUUGGUAUUGGGGCAUAUCACCCUCCCUUGCAUUAUACCUGUUAAUAUUAAGAUGAAACACUUAGUUGGAUGCAUUUCUCUUAUAUUGUUCUAUGGCAACACCCGAGCAUUCUGCUAGAGAAGAUGCUCGGGUGUAGACAGAAUCAUAUAUUAUAUUAUUAUCAUUAGUAUCAACAUAUUUGUAAAUGUUUUCAUACUCAAUCUAUGAGGUUAGAUUCAACACGAGAUCUAAAGUUUUGCG